GUUAAGUUUUAUUCUUGCUUUUUCAUUCAGUUUAUUUUUGUUCUAUAUGUAAGUUUUUGCGUGAUUUGUUUUAUAUAACUCUAGAUGGGUUAUUUAUUUUUUAUUAUUCUCAUUAGUUGUUAUUGGUUGAUCAAGUAUUCUUGUAUUUAGCAAUAUAUUUUAGUUUCGGUUAAAUUUUGUGCCAGCAGCCGCGGUUAUACCUUGGAAGUGUCUGAAUGUGUUUGGCUUAUAUAGUUAUAUUAUUUACUUUGAUUGAUUUUGUUUUGGUGUUUGUUAGGUGAAAUUUUUUUUACUGUUAAUUUUCUUUUAUUUAUUUGGAGGCUAUGAAAUUCUUUUUGUAAACUAGGAUUAGAUACCCUAUUAUUUUAGAAUGUUAAUUAUUUAUAUGCUUGAGUAGUAUUAGUUAUGUUCUUGAAACUUAAAGAAUUUGGCGGUAUCUCAUUCCGUCCAGAGGAAUCUGUCUCGUUAUCGAUAGUCCACGUUGGACCUUACUUGGAUUGCGUUGGUUUGUAUACCGCCGUUUAUUGAUUAUCUUUUUAGAGUUUUUAAUUUUCUGGUUUCUUUAUUUUGAUUUAUUUCAGGUCAAGGUGCAGCUUGUUUCUAAGUGGAAUGAUGGAUUACAUUGUCAUUUGUUUAUGGAUUGUUGAUUUCAAUAUUGGCAUGAAAUUGGAUUUGGUUGUAAUAAUUUGUAGAUUAUUAUUUUGAUAAUUGGUUCUGAGAUAUGCACACAUCGCCCGUCGCUCUCGUUUAUUGUUAAUGAGAUAAGUCGUAACAAAGUGGUUGUACCGGAAGGUGCAGCUGGAUUGAU
rnacentral:ncRNA from 1 species